rnacentral:rRNA from 1 species
AACGAACGCUGGCGGCAGGCCUAACACAUGCAAGUCGAACGCCGUAGCAAUACGGAGUGGCAGACGGGUGAGUAACACGUGGGAACGUACCUUUCGGUUCGGAAUAACUCAGGGAAACUUGAGCUAAUACCGGAUACGUGCGAGAGCAGAAAGAUUUAUCGCCGAAAGAUCGGCCCGCGUCCGAUUAGCUAGUUGGUGAGGUAAUGGCUCACCAAGGCGACGAUCGGUAGCUGGUCUGAGAGGAUGAUCAGCCACACUGGGACUGAGACACGGCCCAGACUCCUACGGGAGGCAGCAGUGGGGAAUAUUGGACAAUGGGCGCAAGCCUGAUCCAGCCAUGCCGCGUGAGUGAUGAAGGCCCUAGGGUUGUAAAGCUCUUUUGUCCGGGAAGAUAAUGACUGUACCGGAAGAAUAAGCCCCGGCUAACUUCGUGCCAGCAGCCGCGGU